AUUGAACGCUGGCGGCAGGCUUAACACAUGCAAGUCGAACGAGUGGCGGACGGGUGAGUAAUGCUUGGGAAUCUGGCUUGUGGCGGGGGAUAACUACGGGAAAGUGUGGCUAAUACCGCAUACCAUAGGAUGAGCCCAAGUGGGAUUAGGUAGUUGGUGGGGUAAAGGCUCACCAAGGCGACGAUCCCUAGCUGGUUUGAGAGGAUGAUCAGCCACAAUGGGACGGAGACACGGCCCAGACUCCGACGGGAGGGAGCAGUGGGGAAUAUUGGACAAUGGGGGAAAGCCUGAUGCAGCCAUGCCGCGUGUAUGAAGAAGGCCAUAGGGUUGUAAAGUACUUUCAGUCGGGAGGCGUUAUCGACAGAAGAAGCACCGGCUAACUCCGUGCCAGCAGCCGCGGUAAUUC
rnacentral:rRNA from 1 species